rnacentral:tRNA from 1 species
GUCCCCUUCGUCUAGCGGUUAGGACACCGCCCUUUCACGGCGGCAACAGGGGUUCGAUUCCCCUAGGGGACGCCA